ACAACGAUUGACUUAAAACAAAGAUAAAAAUACUUUGGCCUACUUUGGCCUAUCUACUUGCUGAUUUAAAAGGGCGGCAGGCGACAAAAGUGUUCACAAGUAGACUGCUCUCUUUAUAUGCGGUUAAGAAUUUAAAUUUCCUGGACGAAAAUAUGAAGACGGCUCUUGUGUGCUUCCUUGUUGGCCUGAUCGCCAUAUCAUUGGUUCAUGCUCAAAACAACCAAUCAUCAACCAUGGCGCCUUCCAACAGCACAACACAAAAAGCAGGAGCUGUUAGCGUGCAAGGGACGUCUGUGAUAUUUCAAAUAAUCUUUGCUCUUACUGGAGCCUUUAUCUUUGGCUUAUUAAGAAACUAAAGAUAAACAUCGUUCUGCUGAAAAGACUCUAGAUUAUUUAACACUCGUUUAUUUAUAUACGGUCAUAUAGCGAGUAAAUUCCUUUUGCGUUUAUAUCACUUUAUAUACAUAAUCAUUUAUAAGUAGUGGCUUUACAAGCAAAUUAAUUAUCAUUUUAGUUAUAAUUGUAUGUAAUGACGACAUUCUCGGAAAAGGACAAAUCAAUUUCAUCAUUUGAGCUGAAAUGUUUGAACUUGAUUCAAAUAUGAUGACGCUCAAGAUGAAUUGACAGUUUUUUUAGCCUUCAUGCCGAGAAGUUCCGAAAUUGUUCAAAGAAAGAUCAAAAUGUAUUUGCUGAUUUAAAUAAAAUAUUAAUUUUA